CGCCCUGCUGGCUGGGGUUGCUUGUUUUCCCCUCUGUUAAGGCAGGGAAGUUGCUGGGGGGGUUGCUGGUUAGAACUGUUAACGUUUAUUGUUUAAUGUUAUAUGAUAAUAAUAUUAUUAGUGUGAUUUCAAGGGUUAACGAAACUCGGGAAAAGCAAUCACGUUUUGUUGCUUUGGGGAACCUUGUGGUGGGCAGAGCAUGUGCAGAAGAAGAGGGAGACGCUCGAAGCCGCUCCUGCAGUCUGGAACAAAAGCCGCAGACAAAGCAAUCUGAAGUGAGCGAUGACGAAGGUUUGAAAACAGCAGGAAAACCAUUUUUGUUGCGGACCCCAACGGCAAGCAGAUAAAAGGAGCCGGCCCCGCAGCCCAGCCUGUUCAGAAAGCACUUGUGGUCGCCACGCGCGGACACACACGGUGCCGCUUUUCCCACAACAGCAAGCGUUAAAAAAACUAUUUAUAAAGGCAUUCAAAAAUGCGCCGCUGGCCUCGGGGGUGCCGCGGGGAGCCGCCGUGGGGGGAGCAGGGCCUGAGGCAGGGCACGGGUCGGGGGGCAGCACCCGCAGCAACGCGGCUGUGCCCGCCUGGGUGCGGGGCUCGGUGAGGGUGGUCCCGCAGCAGCCCGCAGUGCGUGGCGUGGAGUUCUCAGUUGUCAUUUUCCGUGCUGCAGGGGGGUUCCGUACCUCCCUCCAAAAACUGACUCUGAAAAUCCUGGGUUUACAGUCUGUGUUUUGGAGAUAAAGUCGUAUUUGUGCAAUUCACUUUGAAACGCCUGUUAUGUGGUUCAUUCUCCACAGAUUCCUGUAUCUCGGCUGCUUGGCCUGAGAUGUGCAUGGGUUUACAGCCUGUCCACUCAGCUCCUUUGUCCUCCUUUUUUAGAAUCUUAUGUAAAUGAUAAAUACCCUUGGACCAACGUACAUGUAUGUACCCAUAGAACCUCCUUAAAAGCAGACUAAUGUUUUGAGGAUUUACAGAUAACGUUUUAAAAUAGUUGUAUGUACCCUAUACUAUCUAACGAUGGCAUAUAUGAAAUAGUAAUUACCAGAGUAACAAUGCCACAUUCAGCAGUUAGCCCCACAAGCUGCCAACCCCACAGAUUUUUAAAGAAUUUUCGGUGCCUGGAGAUGCAAAUAAUUUGUGAAUGUGAGUUUCAAGCCAUCUUGAAACAAGGUUAGGGAAGGCAGACACUCCAGCUCCGCCUUCAUGCAGCCCUUGAAACACAAAUCCCACACAGGACUCCAGCUCAGCUUAGGUGCACUGCAACAGGGCUGCUGCCUGCAACACACGGCACAUAAGACCCCGCAAGAUGUUACCACAACAGCAGCAAGAGCUCUGAACAAAUUAAGGGACAACUCCAUCAACGUGUUCAGUCUGAUUUGUCUCAAGCAUCCCUACAAAAUGCCUUGGGGAUUAAAAACCUCUCAUCAAGAAGAUCAGAAAAUCCUUUGCAAUCUACAUUGUAAAUGGCAA